rnacentral:ncRNA from 1 species
CAAGGGCGUGGUCCCGACCUUUAUAUCAGCUCUAACACAACAUACACAUGCAAGUCUCCGCAACCCAGUGAGUAUGCCCUCACUCCCUCUCCCCGGGGACGAGAAGCGGGCAUCACGCACAAACAUUAGCCCAAGACGCCUAGCAGACACACACCCCCAGGGGUAUUCACCAGUGAUAUAUAUAACCCCAUAUGUGAAAACUUGACUCUUUUAGCGUUAUAUUGGGCCGAUAAAAACUCGUGCCACCCACCGCGUAUAGACGAGAGGCCCCAUGUUGAUUAUUAUUACGGGCAUAAGGGGUGUAUAAAGGACUAACAAUAUUUUUUAAAACCAAAUGGUCCCUUGGCCGUCAUACGCUUCUGGGUAUCCGAGGUCCUAUAUGCGAAAGUAGCUUAAUAACCAGCCUGACCCCACGAAAGCUGAGAAACAAACUGGGAUUAGAUACCCCACUAUGCUCAGCCGUAAACUUAGGCAUCUAACUACAAUGAGAUGCCCGCCAGGGUACUACGAGCAUCAGCUUGAAACCCAAAGGACCUGACGGUGUCUCAGACCCCCCUAGAGGAGCCUGUUCUAGAACCGAUAACCCCCGUCUAACCUCACCACUUCUAGCCAACCCAGCCUAUAUACCGCCGUCGUCAGCUUACCCUGUGAAGGGUACAAAGUAAGCAAAAUGGGCACAGCCCAGAACGUCAGGUCGAGGUGUAGCGCAUGAGGUGGGAAGAAAUGGGCUACAUUUUCUGCCACAGAAUAUUACGGAUAUGCACUGUGAAAUAGUGCUUGAAGGAGGAUUUAGUAGUAAAAGGGAAAUAGAGUGUCCCUUUGAACCCGGCUCUGAGACGCGUACACACCGCCCGUCACUCUCCCCCGUCAAAACGCAUCGAAGAUAAAUAACACAAUAGCACUGACAAGGGGAGGCAAGUCGUAACAUGGUAAGUGUACCGGAAGGUGCACUUGGAUAAAACC